GACGAACGCUGGCGGCGUGCCUAACACAUGCAAGUCGAACGGGGUAGAGAGCUUCGGUUUUCUACUUAGUGGCGAACGGGUGAGUAACGCGUGAGGAACCUGCCUUCCAGUGGGGGACAACAGUUGGAAACGACUGCUAAUACCGCAUAAUGUAGCGAGACCGCAUGAUCUUGCUACCAAAGCUUUAUGUGCUGGAAGAUGGCCUCGCGUCUGAUUAGCUAGUUGGUGAGGUAACGGCUCACCAAGGCGACGAUCAGUAGCCGGUCUGAGAGGAUGAACGGCCACAUUGGGACUGAGAUACGGCCCAGACUCCUACGGGAGGCAGCAGUGGGGAAUAUUGGGCAAUGGGCGCAAGCCUGACCCAGCAAUGCCGCGUGAAGGAAGACGGUUUUCGGAUUGUAAACUUCUUUUAAGAGGGACGAUAAUGACGGUACCUCUUGAAUAAGCCACGGCUAACUACGUG
rnacentral:rRNA from 1 species